AAGCAUGCCGACUAGGGAAUUCUGGGAGUCGAAGUCCACCCAUCUGAAAGUUGCCAAGGUUGAGAAACAUAUUCCUAAUCUCUCAUCUUCCUUUUCUCCAAUCUUUUCAGAAGUUCCAGUAAAAAAGUCAUUUACAGCCAGUCUUCCAACCGAAGUGACGGUGACUUUAAACAAACUUCAUCCUUCCUGGUUUGAUCGUGGCUUACAGACUUCGUGUUUUAAACCCUGUCAGGACUGCUGUAAAUCUUCUCGGUGGAUCUUUGUAAUUAAGUGUGAUUUUUUUUCAAUGGUUUUUUUUAAAAAAUAUAUAUAUAUAUAUAUAAAUAUAUGUAUAAAAUAAUAGUUUGCCUUUACGUAUUUUUUUAAACAGUUGCUAUUUAAAAAGGCCGUGCUUCCAAGCCUUUCUUUCCAGGGUAUUUUCAUCGUUUAGGAUCGUGAGCCUUUGAGUUCUGGUACAAAAUGAUUGAAUUCCGUAGUGUGCCUAAUUUUUUUAAGGCUGAUCUGUCACUCACAUUUAGUUUGAGGUAGUUAUGAGUUUAAGGACAUGUGCAUUUCUCUCCUCUGAAAAUCAGUCAUAACCAAACCUUGGUAACUUUAAGAUGUGUGGACUUCAACUCCCAGAAUUUCCCAGCCAUCAUCCUCAUCUUUUAACGACCCCAUAAUCCCUUGCGGGGUGGAGUCUGGGCAGCUGAAUGGAGCCAGCAAAGUGUUUGAAUGGCCGGAUGCCCUUCCUGUUGCCAACAGGAAGUUUCGGAGUUUCGUUCAGCAGAUAUAUUCUCAUGGUGCCCAGAAAGAGAAAUAUCUGCCUCUACCUAGGAUCGAACUCACAGCCUCUGCCAAAUUUGAACAAGAAACCAAGUCCUGAAAUUUUGCAUUUAAUUGUGUAGCAGAUAAAAUAGCCACAAUGCAACUUCUGUCCAUCAAGAAAGUUGUGCUGAAGGACGAUUGUUAAACCUCUCUUCCUUAGGGAGAGAGUUAGACGUGCUAAAAUUAUUCCAGCUAUCUUACCAAUAUUUGCCUUUAUUAAUGUUACGAUAUUCUUGUUACGAUAUUUUUUUAUUUUGUAAAAAAAAAAAAUGCUGGACACCGAACUGGAAAUAAAGUUUUGAUUCAA